UUCUCAACUCAUAGGUGUGUGUGCGGCUCAUUCAUCGUGCUCAUCGAUCAUCAUCCACAUGGUUGCAGACAUCAAUGGAGUCUGUACGGUAAAGCGCGAUUGACAUGCCGGGAUACGCGUACUCACUGAAGGAUUUGGGUACAUUCCUUUAGGCUUCAUUGGUUGGUUGGUGGCAUCUGAGGCCCACUGAAUUGUAUGAAAUAGACACAGGUGGAUCAAUAAGAGACUUAUCUGAGCAUGUUGGUUAUGCUACCAUACACCGUAGGGUCGGGUGUUUCUUCCGAAUUUAGUUACAAUGAAGAAAGGAAAACAUUCUAGCGAGACGUUUUAAGAAAGAAUAUAAAAAGUAGAAGAGAAAUGAAGUACACAUAUGAACCAAAUGUGGUUAAACUUCUCUUUCAAGCAGAGCUCCAACGCCAUAAUGCAAAGGAAUCCAAAUCUUUCUACUUUCUUUUGCUCUUCAUGUUCAACGGUGUAGAUCAAUUCUGAUCACUU